rnacentral:rRNA from 1 species
UCAAUAAGCGGAGGAAAAGAAACCAACAGGGAUUGCCUUAGUAGCGGCGAGUGAAGCGGCAAUAGCUCAAAUUUGAAAUCUGGCACUUUCAGUGUCCGAGUUGUAAUUUGAAGAAGGUAUCUUUGGGUCUAGCUCUUGUCUAUGUUUCUUGGAACAGAACGUCACAGAGGGUGAGAAUCCCGUGCGAUGAGAUGUCUAGAUCUAUGUAAAGUUCCUUCGAAGAGUCGAGUUGUUUGGGAAUGCAGCUCUAAGUGGGUGGUAAAUUCCAUCUAAAGCUAAAUAUUGGCGAGAGACCGAUAGCGAACAAGUACAGUGAUGGAAAGAUGAAAAGAACUUUGAAAAGAGAGUGAAAAAGUACGUGAAAUUGUUGAAAGGGAAGGGCUUGAGAUCAGACUUGGUAUUUUGUAUGUUACUCUCUCGGGGGUGGCCUCUACAGUUUACCGGGCCAGCAUCAGUUUGAGCGGUAGGAGAAUUGCGUAGGAAUGUGGCUCGGCCUCGGUCGAGUGUUAUAGCCUUCGUCGAUACUGCCAGCUUAGACUGAGGACUGCGGCUUCGGCCUA